rnacentral:rRNA from 1 species
GAUGAACGCUAGCGGCAGGCUUAACACAUGCAAGUCGAGGGGUAUUGGUUUUCGGACCAAGAGACCGGCGCACGGGUGCGUAACGCGUAUGCAAUCUACCUUUUGCAGAGGGAUAGCCCCAGAGAAAUUUGGAUUAAUACCUCAUAGUAUAGUACUUUGGCAUCAAGGAACUAUUAAAGUCACAACGGCAAAAGAUGAGCAUGCGUCCCAUUAGCUAGUUGGUAAGGUAACGGCUUACCAAGGCUACGAUGGGUAGGGGUUCUGAGAGGGAGAUCCCCACACUGGUACUGAGACACGGACCAGACUCCUACGGAGGCAGCAGUGAGGAAUAUUGGACAAUGGGCGCAAGCCUGAUCCAGCCAUGCCGCGUGCAGGAUGACGGUCCUAUGGAUUGUAAACUGCUUUUAUACAGGAAGAAACACUCCGACGUGUCGGAGCUU